rnacentral:lncRNA from 1 species
GCUCAAAGAUUUGCCGGAUUAAUCAGGUAAGGGGGGUUUAUCGUCGUUUAAUGGGUAUUAUGGGUUAGCAUGUAAUGGGUAGUGAUAAGCCGUUGAAUUGACCCUAAUUGGGAUUAUGAAUGCUGGAAAAUUAUGUUGGAUAAACUGUGUUUAGGCUGUAAUUGAAUCUGUGUUUGGGUUAGUUGUGAAUUUCCGAACGUAUAGCUUUUUACGGAAUUGGAAUCGGAGGUCCGGAAGUCCUCCAACGGCGGAAAAUGCGGAGAAUUCUGCAUUCUGCUUUGUGUUAGCGCAAUAACUGCUGUUUUGUCUGCGUUAACCGGUUAACCCAGGGUGUUAACCGGUUAACACUGUUGUGAUUGCUGAGAUAUUGCUGUUCUGUCUGCGUUAACCGGUUAACCCAGGGUGUUAACCGGUUAACACUGUUAAGUUUUGGGCAGGAAGCGUGUUUGUGCUGCGUUAACCGGUUAACCCAGGGCGUUAACCGGUUAACACUGUUGCAGAGUGGAAAAAUUGUUAAUUAAAAUGUUGUGUGCCUAAUUGAUGGUUGCCUAUAUCGGUGUGUGAUAUAGUAGGGAUUAUUUCCCGCUGUUUUGAGCAGUAUAGGUAUUAGUAGAGUGUGCUAAUACUGUGUUUAAUUAUUUGACAUGAUAUGAUGUGUUGAUACAUGUGUUGAUAAUGUAUGAUGGUAUGCAUAAUGUUGUGAAUGUGUAUGUUAUGCAUGUGUUGUGAAUGGACUGUUUUAUGGCUUAGAGAGUGAGCAUCGGUCCAUUGUGGAUUAUUGUUGUGAUGUUGCAUUGCUAGGUGAUUAGCGUGCAUAAUGUGGCCUUUAUGGUGGUAGCUAAUUCCCAUGGUGAGGAAUUAGUGAUGUUAGUCAUUUGGACUGUUUUUGAUGUUUGCAUGCUAGGUGAAUUAGCGUGCAUAGCAUGGCCCUUGGGGUGGUAGCUAAUUCCCAUGGUGAGGAAUUAGUGAUGUGAGUCACUAGGUCUCAAAUGAGUGGGACUGGUGAGCUUGGUAGCCGUACCUGGAUUUGGUCGGUGAAGUUGAACUAUAUGUUCACGAAUAGUCGGUACCGCAUGCAUGGAGUCUCAUUGCAUAAUAUAUGUGUAGUGUAUAAUAUGAAUGGAUGUAUUCCAAUGUUAUACGUGUGUUGUGUUGGCAUUGAGCAUGAGUAUGAAUUGUGUUGAUAUUGAGUAUGAUAUUUGAGUUGAUGUGCCGUUACUGAAUGUGUGAUACGAUUAGGGUGAUUAAUGUGUUAAAUUACUUAACAUGACAUUAUAUUCUAUAAUGCUUAUUAUAUCGAUUGAGGAACUCACCCUUACAACUAUUUUUCAGGUAACGAGCAGUGAUUGAGUAGAAGCUAAUGCUUGGAGUCUAGUGUAGUCUCCUUAGUGGGUCAUGCUCUGAUAGAUGUAACAUCGGGAGGGAACAUUUUUAAUUGUGUUAUUGAUGUUUGUUGAACCAGUUUACAUGUAGUAUGUUACAUGUUUUGAAUGAUCGAUUUGAUCUCUAUCCGCUGCGUAUUGUGCAAUACUUUAUGUUUUGAGUUAAAUAAUGAGCAUGACUAAAUAGUAUGACGAAUGGUGCGAAAUAAAAU